rnacentral:rRNA from 1 species
UACGUAGGGUCCGAGCGUUGUCCGGAAUUAUUGGGCGUAAAGAGCUCGUAGGCGGUUUGUCGCGUCUGCUGUGAAAUCCCGAGGCUCAACCUCGGGUCUGCAGUGGGUACGGGCAGACUGGAGUGCGGUAGGGGAGAAUGGAAUUCCUGGUGUAGCGGUGGAAUGCGCAGAUAUCAGGAGGAACACCGGUGGCGAAGGCGGUUCUCUGGGCAUGACCUGACGCUGAGGAGCGAAAGUGUGGGAGCGAACAGG